GGGAAGGAGGAGAGGCAUUUGCAGUCGACUCUGAUAGUAUUUGCCCAGGGAUGGAGGAAGAGAGCAGAGAAUGGAGAGAGGAAGGAGGGAGACACACAGCAUGGUCCAAUCCUGCAGUUGCAUCUGGGAGGUUACAAUCUGCUCCUUGAACAACUGUCAGCCGCGAUGGGACCAGAGAUGCCGAGAUGAUGGGAUGGACGGGAUGGGAUUCUGCAUUCUCAGACUUCCUCCUUCCUCCUCCCCAGGACCCCUGCUCUGAAAAAUCAUCCUUGGCAUCACGUACAUGAGAAGUCCCAUCCUCCCGCGUGCUAUGUGAUACCAGGCAGGGCGAAAUCCCUGAGCCCUGGUCGGAACAGCUCUCAGAAAAACAUCUGCGUGGAUUUGCUGGCUUUCCUUAAACAAGGGCCAGCUCAGCUCCUCCAGGGCCGUGUGCAGCAAAGCUGAUGACAGGCUCUGCAAGGAAAAUACAAGAAGUUCUCCCUCUGUUACAAGGGGCUCUGUCCUUCCAGACCAGGCUGCAGAGCAUCCUCUGGGGGUAACGGCAGUUCAGGAGAGUGAGGCUGGACCACAUUUGGAGGACAAGAGGUCCCCUCCAUCCCAGCCAUCCCAGAUGGGUGAGCAAAGCCCUCCUAGAUCACCUGGCACUGCUGAGCCAGCCCCAAACAGAAGAACCGGCUGGCCCGUUGCAGAAUCGUGAGAGGCAACAGGGCUUCCCUGGUGGCGCAGUGGUUGGGAGUCCGCCUGCCGAAGCAGAGACCACGGGUUCGUGCCCUGGUCCGGGAAGAUCCCACGUGCCACGGAGAGGCUGGGCCCGUGAGCCAUGACCGCUGAGCCUGCGCGUCCGGAGCCUGUGCUCCGCAACGGGAGAGGCCACAACAGUGAGAGGCCCGCGUACCGCAAAUAAAUAAAUAAAUAAAAAUAAA